CCCUUAGAUGUCCUGGGCCGCACGCGUGCUACACUGAUGCAUACAGCGAGUACUCCCAGCUCCGCGAGGCUGCUGGUAAUCAGCAAUAUGCGUCGUGAUGGGGAUAGAUCUUUGGAAUUAUAGAUCUUGAACGAGGAAUUCCUAGUAAACGCAAGUCAUCACCUUGCGUUGACUAAGUCCCUGCCCUUUGUACACACCGCCCGUCGCUCCUACCGAUUUCGAGUGAUCCGGUGAAUCAUUCGGACCGCGUGGGCUUGACCUAACGUGGAAAGUCUAGUAAACCAUAUCACUUAGAGGAAGGAGAAGUCGUAACA
rnacentral:rRNA from 1 species